rnacentral:lncRNA from 1 species
UUUAAAUAGGUCAAGAAUGGCUCGUGCAAAAAUAUAUGAUGGGCCUAAUUUGCCUUUCAUUCCAAGAACUGGUAGUAUCUCUAUAAAUGAGUACAUAAUGCGCUAUAGAAUGAUACGUUUUUGUGCCACAAAUAAGUACCUACAACAUGAUCUUGUUGCACAUCUUUGGGCCAAAAGAAGCAUGGAGUAGGCGUUUAAGUUUUAUGUUGUUAAAUGUUUUUAAAAAUGUUGUUAAAUGUUUUUUAAUGUUGUAUAAUUUGUAUGUUGGUUAAUGUUAUUUAAUGUUGUUUCACAUUGUUUAAGGUUGUUUCAUAUUGUUUAAUGUUGUUUCAUGUUACUUAAUUUAAUUUAAUGUUGUAUAA